AUUGAACGCUGGCGGCAGGCUUAACACAUGCAAGUCGAGCGAGCGGCGGACGGGUGAGUAAUGUCUGGGAACCUGCCUGAUGGAGGGGGAUAACUACUGGAAACGGUAGCUAAUACCGCAUACCAUCAGAUGUGCCCAGAUGGGAUUAGCUAGUAGGUGGGGUAAUGGCUCACUUAGGCGACGAUCCCUCGCCGGUCUGAGAGGCUGAACGGCCACAUUGGGACUGAGACACGGUCCAGACUCCUAUGGGACGCAGCAGUGGGGAAUAUUGCACAAUGGUCGCAAGCCUGAUGCUGUCAUGCCGCGUGUGUGAAGUAGGCCUUCGGGUUGUAAAGCACUUUCAGCGAGGAGGCGUUACUCGCAGAAGAAGCACCGGCUAACUCCGUGCCAGCAGCCGCGGUAAUAC
rnacentral:rRNA from 1 species